GUGCUUGCUUCAGCAGCCUGUAUACUAAAAUUGAAACAAUACAGAGAUUAUCAUGGCCCCUGCUCAAGGAAGACAUGCAAAUUCAUGAAGCACUGGGUAUUUUU